AUACCUUUCCGGGGCAGGGUGCAACUCCCGACCGGCGGUGAUGGGGCCACAUAUGCCCCUCAGUCCGUGACCCGCAAUCGUGCGGUGGAUCUGGUGAAAUUCCAGAGCCGACAGUGAAAGUCUGGAUGGGAGGAAAGGAUA
rnacentral:ncRNA from 2 species